GCUCUCGCGGUCUGUGUUCGGGAUCUCAGUCGACGCUGAUUCUGGCUCAGCCCCGCAGAGACCACCAGGGCCCUUUGCUGUCAGCAACCCGACCCCCGGGAGGGAUGUGGCGUGGCCCCAUUUUACCGAGGAGGAAACGGAGGCCCAAGGAGAUUAGGAAACGCACCCAAGACCCUCACUAAUGCAAGGAGACAGAAACACUGGUUCUUUUUUUAGCUACAAGAGGAAAUACAGACAAGCCAAUCAACAUCUUAUGGUGGGACUAGUGCGGUAGACAGGCCAGGAGAGAGACAGGGAAAAGGCAGCUGGCCAUUUCAAAGUACCAAGGAAGAGUGCUUUAGGAAUGAUGAAUGGAAAAACUUCGAAAGAACAUAGAGAAAAGUAGGUAAGGCAGUAGUGAUUAUCAGUUUAAGUCUAAGUCAUCAUACCAACACAACUUGAAAGAAGUUCUGAGUAUCGAGGCAAGAGGAGAAAGAGGAUUUCAAUUGUUCUACCAGGACUUUUGGAGAAUAAAUAACAUAGUAUACUUUGGAUUAAAAGUUCGUGGGAAAAUC